AGUGAACGCUGGCGGUAGGCCUAACACAUGCAAGUCGAACGGCAGCACAGUAAGAGCUUGCUCUUACGGGUGGCGAGUGGCGGACGGGUGAGGAAUACAUCGGAAUCUACCUUUUCGUGGGGGAUAACGUAGGGAAACUUACGCUAAUACCGCAUACGACCUACGGGUGAAAUCAGGGGAUCUUCGGACCUUGCGCGAUUGAAUGAGCCGAUGUCGGAUUAGCUAGUUGGCGGGGUAAAGGCCCACCAAGGCGACGAUCCGUAGCUGGUCUGAGAGGAUGAUCAGCCACACUGGAACUGAGACACGGUCCAGACUCCUACGGGAGGCAGCAGUGGGGAAUAUUGGACAAUGGGCGCAAGCCUGAUCCAGCCAUACCGCGUGGGUGAAGAAGGCCUUCGGGUUGUAAAGCCCUUUUGUUGGGAAAGAAAAGCAGCAGGUUAAUACCCCGCUGUUCUGACGGUACCCAAAGAAUAAGCACCGGCUAACUUCGUG
rnacentral:rRNA from 1 species